UUCUAGAUGACUUCAGAAGAAAAGUUUAUAUUUAGAGAUGCAAAAUGUUUCUUUUAUUUUGGAGUGUGGAAGGGAAUCGGCAAUUACAAUGGGCGUUUGAAUGCUGUUGUCAGCCAACUCCUGUGUGUUCCAUGAAGAAGACUUGGGGCUAAUGAGAACAUUUGUUUUUAGAACAGAAUCCACCAAAUGGUUUUAAAGAACCAUUUCCCCUGACAGUUGUGGAAGUAAAAGCUUAUUGGUAGAAAUUUUCCUCUGGCCUCCUACUUCUCGCCUAGCCAGAGCAUUGACCGCUUAUGUCUGCCUUUGCUUUCAACAUAAGGAGUUUAGGUUUGUUUUCUUUUUCUGCAUCAGAGACAGAAGCUGUGAGAGGCAAUUGAGCAACUUCAUGCUCCACAGCCCGGGCUGCCGGGGAGCUGCACUGGCACUUCUGCGAGGAACUGGGGCACACGCAGCUGGACCUCAACAUUAAUUCCUCAAUAAUUCAUGACACGCCUAUGAAACUUUAAUGGCGAGUUCGAAAGUAAUGGCGUGGCUGCCAUGUCCCCUGAUUGUUCAUAGAGCAAGUUGCCCGGAAAUGCUGUGGACGCUCCAUCGGAACCCAACAUCACCGGCUGAAAGGAAUGCGAAGGAUGAGUUUGGAAAAUGCUGUGCCGUCUGCUGGUCACUGAGAACAAAGCAGAAAUAUCACCUGGAAAUCACUGAAAUUCAUGAAAACAUGGCACGUGUGGCUGCAUUUCUUUUACAAUCAGAGGAAGAGAAUGAACUUUGAACAUCUUGAGGCAGAGGAAGUCCAGGAAGUACCUAGGCAGAGAGUUUUUCAUCCUGAGUCUAGCGGUCCCGGCCUGUUGCAGCAAAGCCUUGUAAGAAAAAUGGAAGGUGAGAAAGGCCACAGAGCGCUCAUCUGAACCGCACAGUGCAGAUUAGAGCUGGCGGUUCUGCACCCUCCUUCCAUAACCAGGCUGGGCUCAGCCCAACUCAACUCACUGGAGCUUGUCCUCGGAGCCCAGAGCCUGCAUUUUCACGUCAUUUCCAAAUAUAAAGCCGUCAGCUGUGUCAGGCACUUUGAUUUCUCUGGAUGUCAGGCUUGAUUUUCAAAUGUAAAUGUGCCCCAGGUUAGUCUUAGUAAGUUACCUGGCCUGGGACCAGGAGCACACCUGUCAGGUGCGGCCCCCUGACCUUCCACCCUCGCGUAAUCCUUCACGUUUCUCAUCAAAGGCACCCUCCUGCCAGCCCGGAGCUGAAUGCGGAAUUAUUCUCCAAGGAAUUUAUGACAAAUACAAUAAUUCCUUUUAAUGCAGGGAUUGCUUUCUCCACCAGCACAUUAAGUAGAGCACACCACCAGGAAACAGCCAUUAUGUCUGCAAUUACCAUAUCAUAGUUAGAAAACACAAUUCGUCCUAUAAUUGCAGUGAGAAAUACACAGUUUCCUCAGCACAGCACCUCUGAUGUGACCCCAAAACGUUGGUACAAAGUGCUCAGCCAGGGCCGGGGGUUUUCAUUCAGGGUCGUUCACAUCUUAGAGGCUGUUUGUGGUAUUGCGAUGUCUUUACCAGACCCUGUCUGCUUCUGCUGAGUUUUCCUGGGUACCUAACUUUUAGGUGAUACCAGUCUGGUUUCUACAUCAGAAGCUAGAGGCUUCAGGAGUGAUGGGAGCACGUCUGAUGCAGCUGGGCCUCUCUUCCCCUCAGGCUGGCACCCUCCUGUCCGUGACAACAGAACCAGUCCUGGGAACUCCCACCUGCCCCUGGGGCUGCGCUUGAAGUUCUCACACUCUCCACGCCCAGCAGCGUAAGAACAAGUCUGAAAACAAAGUCUGAAAACAAGUCGGCCACUUACAGAAGAGAGGCCCGUCAGGUCCUAUGUGAGGACGGAAUGACAUUUUGUAACUUCCCUUUUCUCACAAAAAAUACGUGACACGUGCAUUUCCGUGCCCUGGUUUCUUCCAGAACCUCUCUGAAUGUUUGUGUAGAAUCCUGCUGUACGAGUGGUGCUCUGUGUCACCAGCCUGUGGUGAUGGGACUUAUCAAUGGUGCUCCGGAUGGAAUGCUGCCGCCCUCACAUCUCUGUGUUGAAGCCCUACCCCACAAUGGGGUGAUACUUGGAAAAGGGGCCUGAGGGCGAUAGGGUAGUUUAGAUGAGGCCCUGAGGUGGAGCCUCCAGGGUUGGAUUUGUGACCUUAGGGGAGAGACACCAGAGAGACUCACUCUCUGCCAUUCAAGGACAGCAAAGAAGGUGACUGUCCACAGCCUGGAAGUGGGUUCUCUCCAGCCCCCGACCAUGCUGGCAUCAUGAUCUUGGACCUCCAGCCUCCAGAACCGUGAGAAAAUGAAUCCCAUUGGUGAGGCCGCCCAGGCCAUGGAUUUCACUCUGGCGGCCCGAGCAGACUCAUACAGGGGGAUUGCGGUUUUAUCAUUAUGAGAAAUGGCUCAGUGGAUGUGUAACCGCUGUUCUAGAUUGCAAUAUGUCAGGAGCAUUUUUUUUCUGACAAUUAAUUACACUUAAAUAGGAGAUUUUAAAUGUUCUGAUUAUGAAAGCAACGGUUGCAGCAGUUUCAAAAAUUGAUAAAAAUAUUUCUUAAAAGAAAGCUAAAAAUAACUCGUCGUCUUACUUCCCAGAUUUAUUUCAACAUGUUACAGUAGUUUUCUCCCUAGACUUUUUCUUCGUAAAUAGACACAUUGGUAGAUAAAUGAUAGAUAAUUUGUGGUUUUCUCUUAUAAGUUUGGAUCAUUACAUCACUUUUUUAAAAUUCUACUUUUUAAAUGUUUAUAAUACGAGAAAGUUUGCUUGCCAGUAUAUAACAUUUCAUAAUACGGACACGCCAUGCUAUGUUGGUUAUUUUCCUUACAACUGGUACUGUUCACACUUUUACUGUUAUAAACUACACUAUAAUGGACAUGUGUGUGCAUAAAUCCUCUUGGCAUUUCUAAUUAUUUUCAUAGGCUGUAUUUCAUAGGAAGUGAUUUCUAAAUGUAACCAAAUAAACUGAUCUAACAGCACUUUAAGCGUAUGCAUUAUUUUCUAUCCUCCAAGAAUGAAAGCGACGUGGAGCAAUUUAAUGGUCCGAUAGCACAGAGCCAACAUCCAGGCUUUACUGGAGUUAAGCACAGCUUCUCCCACCUUCUCACUCCCUCCAGACACGUAGAUGUUAUAUGCGGUAUUUGCUUUAAAAUCAAAGGAAAGUAAUAGUGGAAUUGCAGAACUUGAUCCGGGCCAAUCUUGUCUCUUUCUCGGGUAGGACUAACUACAAAACCAAAAACAUACAGACAAACGAAAAUAAGGUAUAACUAUAAAGCAUUUGUUUUAGGACUUUGACAAGUUUGUAAAUGAAGAAUUGUGGCUACAGUAAAAGCUAAGAAGAAAGAGAAUCUAAUUCCACAAGAGGUGCAAGGAAUACCUUUUUGCAUCCUUUAGUAAAAAUAGCUGGAAUUGUGGGUACAACUUCUGGAGAAUCUCCAGUGCGAAUUACAUUUAUCAGCAUAGCCCUCCCAGACAUUUUAAGCAAGAGACUUUGUCCUUUGGGACAGUUACAAUGAGGAACAUGUUCCAAACAGGCACAGCGAUUCCCUCCUCAUCUUCAUUUGCUGUUGGCCAGGAAAAAUCCAGAGUCUGUGAGUUCCCAUUGCCAUGUGUUCACUCACUGUUUUGGAAGUUGAUUUUGAGAUGCUUUUCU
rnacentral:lncRNA from 1 species